AUGUAAGUGAAGGCUUCAAGACAUGCUUGAUUAAGUUAGCUGUAAGACUGAUGAGGACCAAGCAUUCAUUUCAGCUGCUGUUUUUCAUAGGAUAGAUUGUAUGAGAGGAGCUUGGAGUUUACCUGGAAUGGAUUCGAUCUGUUCUGUCUUGGUUCUUCAGAAGCUCCUUAACUUCUUUUCAUCUGGAAGGAGUAAUUCACAACCAGAAUUUGAUGUGGUUGUGUAUGAUUGCAACAACACGGAGGAAGUCCUGUGGCUGAUAGGCGCUACUGACAGAGCAAGACAGGUCUUACUUGAGGCAUGUGGGGAACUAGUUGAGAAGACUGGCUUCUCCUUUAUUACUGAAACUAGUAUAUGAUCCUGCAAGGCCAAAUGGUAAAAUUAUUGAAAGGAGACUGAGUACAAAGAUAUGGAAUGAAAUCGAACAACUUCUUGCUUAUAGGGGUGGAUCAAAACUGUUGAUCGAAGCAGGAGACUAGAGGCGCGCCAUAAAAUUGCCAUUGGCGUUGCAUGGAAAGGUUGAGGGCGAAAAGUUCGUUGACCGGAACCUUUUUGUAAGCCUCCAGUAGUAGACUCAUAGGUUGUGACUACGAUUUGAAUCCCCCAAUUUAGAUUGGCAUCAUAAGAACUAGGAUGAAUUGCAUGUCUAGUUCUAGACUGAAUUAUGUGUACUGUAUAGUAGUAGUAAUAGUAGUAGUUGUUGUUUGUUUUAAGCAAAGUGAAACUGCACCAUAUAACACUUUCAAAGUAGAGGCACACAGUACUUAAGUAAAUUUUGCAACUUCUACGCUUUGAGUUUGAGCAAUAUAUAUGUUAUGCAUACA